UGAAGAUUUUUCUGUGAAGUAGAAACGAUUCUUGUGACAAAUCUUUCAUCCUUCUCAUUCCCUUGCAGACUUCCUCCCCUGACUUUCCCUCAGGUUUGAUGAUUGACCACGUAGCAACUGUAAUAUGGGACGGAGGCAUAUUCUGACUCUGCUCAGAGAGGGCCACUUCCUUGUGAUAUGGGUGACAUUUUGACUUAUUCCUCUCCUCAACAUACCAGAGGCCACUCUGACUCCAGGGAUGACCAGAAGAAGAUGCAACCCAGACCAUUCAUGCCCAUGUUUCUGAGUUCUAGAGAUUAUUUGUAGUUGUACUGGGACAUCCCAGUUCAGAUACGCUACUUGCUUUCUUUGACUCCCGCAGGCAUUUGUAGGCUAUUCCCUAAAGCUAGAAAGGGAUCAAGGAAG